rnacentral:rRNA from 1 species
UACAGAGGGUGCAAGCGUUGUUCGGAAUUAUUGGGCGUAAAGCGCGUGUAGGCGGUCUUGCAAGUCGGGUGUGAAAUCCCUUGGCUCAACUGAGGAAGUGCGCCCGAAACUGCAGGACUUGAGUACCGGAGAGGAUGGCGGAAUUCCCCAAGUAGAGGUGAAAUUCGUAGAUAUGGGGAGGAACACCGGUGGCGAAGGCGGCCAUCUGGACGGAUACUGACGCUGAGACGCGAAAGCAUGGGGAGCAAACAGG